CAUGGAAGACAUAGUUAAAAACCGAAGGUGGUUAAAAUUUAAGAAAGAGCCUUGCCCCAAGUUUCUCAUAGAGAACAAAAACUAUAUACAGAAGGAGAAAAAGGCAGAGGAAAAACAGAGUGAGUGGGGUGAGAGCAGAAGCAUCAGAGUGAGAAGGGGGUUGGGGUUGCUUUAGUUUUUCUGGGUUUGGGAAUCGUUGAAAGACAAUGGAGAAAGCCUGCAAGAGAAUCCAAGACCUAAACAUGGUAAAGCUUAGGAAGUGUUGAUCUGCAUAGAUUGAUUCACCUUUGUUUUUCUUGCUUCUCUCUCUUUUUUUUAACCUCUCUGCCACAACACACACACACACACACACACCUCAUCAGAUAAACCGUACCACUACUAAUACUCCAUCCAAAAUUUCCACUCUCUCUACCUCUAUUACUCACUGCACUGCACUGCGACAAAAUAAUAAUAAAAAAGUUGAGAGAGAGAGAGAGAGAGUUGAAAAGCACAAAAGGGGUGUGACUUUGUCUAUCUUAGACAAAUGGGCUAAGUGUUAGGUAUUUGUUUAGCUCUUUUUUGCAUGGAACGUGCAAGCCCUGUGUUGCAAACCCUAUUAUUGACUCAGCUUCAAACACUAUUCUUCAUAGGGUCAAAGAGUGAGAGUGUGAGUGUGUGUGUUUCUGUCCUAUAUCUGCAACCUUCCCAGUGUUGUUGUUUUGAAGGAAGUUUCUAUUUGUUCAUGGAGAGGAAGAGAACCACCCCUACUAGUAUCUCCUUCUUUUUCUUGCUCUCAAUUUGCACACUCAUCUUCUUCAGUAGAACUACUAGUGCCUCUGCCAUUCCAUGUUUAGAUACCAGGUGUCCCAUGUUUGCCAAAGCUGGCAGAGAUUUUCAGGAAAUCUUUUUACCAUUAUUCAAUCAUGUUCAGCCGGGUGCCUUGACAUCACCGGCGCACGUUAGAAUGAGGCAGGAAACCUAGCUGUCGUGUUUGUUUUGUUUUCUCACAGCCACACGAGUCUCGGUAACGUGCGCGUACAGUAGUACAAUGCUCUCAGCGCAGCGCUUUCACCGCAAAAACACAGAACUCAAGGAGGAAAAUGGACAAGGGUUGGUGUUUGGAGGUAAAAUAGAGGUCUCAUCAAUGGGGUGGGAUAGGAGGCUUCUAGGUGGGCCUGGGUCAUCGCCACCUCGGUGCACCUCCAAGUGUGGCAGAUGUACACCCUGCAGACCGGUUCAUGUGCCGGUGCCGCCGGGGAUGCGGGUUACGGCUGAGUACUACCCGGAGGCAUGGAGAUGCAAGUGUGGCAACAAGUUGUACAUGCCAUAAUGAACAUAAUUUUCUCUAAGUAUGAUGAUGUAUUUUUGUUGGGUCUAAUAUAUAGUUCAUUUUAUUGACUAUAAAGACUCUCUCAUCUCUUUGAUGUGUUACGUUAGCUUUAGCUUGUGGUGGAUAUUGGAUAUGGAAAAAAGAGGGUACAGAACUUGAUUUGAUGUGAAAUAUAUAAUAUCUUCACACUGAUAAUGGAUUAAUGUUAGUAACAGUAAAGUUAUGUUACUGAAUUUGGCUA